rnacentral:rRNA from 1 species
UGGGGAAUUUUGGACAAUGGGCGCAAGCCUGAUCCAGCAAUGCCGCGUGUGUGAAGAAGGCCUUCGGGUUGUAAAGCACUUUUGUCCGGCAAGAAAACCUGUGGGCUAAUACCCUAUGGGGAUGACGGUACCGGAAGAAUAAGCACCGGCUAACUACGUGCCAGCAGCCGCGGUAAUACGUAGGGUGCAAGCGUUAAUCGGAAUUACUGGGCGUAAAGCGUGCGCAGGCGGUCCGUUAAGACAGAUGUGAAAUCCCCGGGCUUAACCUGGGAACUGCAUUUGUGACUGGCGGACUCGAGUAUGGCAGAGGGGGGUAGAAUUCCACGUGUAGCAGUGAAAUGCGUAGAGAUGUGGAGGAAUACCGAUGGCGAAGGCAGCCCCCUGGGCCAAUACUGACGCUCAUGCACGAAAGCGUGGGGAGCAAACAG